UUUCCGUAGGUGAACCUGCGGAAGGAUCAUUAUUGUAUAACCGAGGUGCGAGGGCUGUCGCUGACCCGAAAGGUCGUGGACGCCCGAGUGCCCUCACACACAUCCAUCUCACCCCUAUGUGCACCACCGCGUGGGUCCCCCUUUGGCUUGUUCGGAGGGGGGCUUACGUUUUCACACAAACUUUGUAUGCAGUGUAGAAUGUAUUUUUUGUUUUUGCGAUCACGCAAUCAAUACCACUUUCAACAACGGAUCUCUUGGCUCUC
rnacentral:misc_RNA from 1 species